UGGGGAAUAUUGGACAAUGGGCGCAAGCCUGAUCCAGCAAUACCGCGUGUGUGAAGAAGGCCUGAGGGUUGUAAAGCACUUUUAAUCGGGAGGAAUAGCGGUCGGUUAAUACCCGGUCGUCUGACAUUACCGAUAGAAAAAGCACCGGCUAACUCCGUGCCAGCAGCCGCGGUAAUACGGAGGGUGCAAGCGUUAAUCGGAAUUACUGGGCGUAAAGCGUGCGUAGGCGGUUGGUUAAGUCAGAUGUGAAAGCCCCGGGCUUAACCUGGGAACGGCAUUUGAAACUGAUCGACUAGAGUUGGGUAGAGGGGAGUGGAAUUUCAGGUGUAGCGGUGAAAUGCGUAGAUAUCUGAAGGAACACCAGUGGCGAAGGCGGCUCCCUGGACCCAAACUGACGCUGAGGCACGAAAGCGUGGGUAGCAAACAGG
rnacentral:rRNA from 1 species